ensembl:lncRNA
AGUAACAGAAAUGCUUGAUUCAUGGCUAUAAAGAAGAUUGAAAUAAAACAGCCUGGAAUGCGAGGCUUUGGUUAGGGACAAGGCCAAUCUGAACUGCCAUUUUUCAAAGGAUUUCAAAAGGAUUGAGUAAAGACCCAUCACAUCACCAGUAAAAGAAAAACGAGAACCUAUUCCCCACUGAAGAGCAGGUUUUACACCAUUGAGCUUGAAGUUCACAGCAGGAAAGAACAAAAAGCUCUGUUCUCUACUCCUGAUUUCAACCAGACAUAACUUACUUCAAAACUGCAUGCUGUCCUUCAGUUAAUUACUCUCCCUCUGAAUUCUAUCAGAUGUCCCAUUUUCUGCAAGUUACAGACAGUCUAAUAGAAAAAAUAGCAUGGGGUCUUCCAUAACUUACUGCAAAGGUUCUGAACCAUAAAAAUUUCAUAAUCAGAAACUUUUCAAGGCAGGCGGCAGAACCACUG